rnacentral:rRNA from 1 species
UACAGAGGCCUCGAGCGUUAGGCGGAAUCACUGGGCUUAAAGCGUGUGUAGGCGGAGUUCUAAGUACCUUGUGAAAUCCCACCGCUCAACGGUGGAACCGCUUGGUAUACUGGUUCUCUUGAGCCACUUAGGGGCUACCGGAACAAAUGGUGGAGCGGUGAAAUGCGUAGAUAUCGGGAAGAACACCCGUGGCGAAGGCGGUUCUCUGGGACGGUACUGACGCUGAGCGCGAAAGCGUGGGGAGCGAACAGG